UACGAAGGUGGCAAGCGUUGUUCGGAUUUACUGGGCGUAAAGCGUGCGCAGGCGGUUGUGCAAGACCGAUGUGAAAUCCCCGGGCUUAACCUGGGAAUGGCAUUGGUGACUGCACGGCUAGAGUGUGUCAGAGGGGGGUAGAAUUCCACGUGUAGCAGUGAAAUGCGUAGAGAUGUGGAGGAAUACCGAUGGCGAAGGCAGCCCCCUGGGAUAACACUGACGCUCAUGCACGAAAGCGUGGGGAGCAAACAGG
rnacentral:rRNA from 1 species